CAACCAUAUUACAUUGAGACACCAAUUCCUGUAUGAUCACUGAAGUUAAGCAACAUCGAGCUUGGUCAGCACCUUGAUGGUUGACCGCUUGGGAAUAGCAGGUGCUGUAA